CUUGACCUUGUUCAGUUGGUAGAGCAUUGGACUAACAAACCAAAGCUUGCGGGUUCGAUUCCUACCGUGGUCAAGG